UACGUAGGGUCCGAGCGUUGGCCGGAAUUAUUGGGAGUAAAGGGCUCGUAGGCGGUCCGUCACGUCGGGAGUGAAAACUCAGGGCUCAACCCUGAGCGUGCUUCCGAUACGGGCGGACUAGAGGUAUGCAGGGGAGAACGGAAUUCCUGGUGUAGCGGUGGAAUGCGCAGAUAUCAGGAGGAACACCGGUGGCGAAAGCGGCUCUCUGGGACGGUACUGACGCUGAGACGCGAAAGCGUGGGGAGCAAACAGG
rnacentral:rRNA from 1 species